UAGGGAAUAUUGGACAAUGGGGGGAACCCUGAUCCAGCCAUGCCGCGUGGAGGAAGACUGCCCUCUGUGUUGUAAACUCCUUUUAUAUGGGAAGAACCGUCCUCAUUGAUGAGUGACCUGACGGUACCAUAGGAAUAAGCACCGGCUAACUCCGUGCCAGCAGCCGCGGUAAUACGGAGGGUGCAAGCGUUAUCCGGAUUCACUGGGUUUAAAGGGUGCGUAGGCGGAUAUGUAAGUCAGUGGUGAAAUCAACGGGCUCAACCUGUUAACUGCCAUUGAUACUGUGUAUCUUGAAUAUGAGAGAGGUAGGCGGAAUGUUGAAUGUAGCGGUAAAAUGCUUAGAUAUGCUACGGAACACCGCUUGCGAAGGCAGCUUACUAUUUCGUAAUUGACGCUGAGGCACGAAAGCGUGGGUAGCGAACA
rnacentral:rRNA from 1 species